UACGGAGGGUGCAAGCGUUGUUCGGAAUCAUUGGGCGUAAAGCGCGUGUAGGCGGCUUGGCAAGUCAGUUGUGAAAGCCCGGGACCCAACCCCGGAAUUGCAUCUGAAACUGCCUGGCUAGAGUCCCGGAGAGGAAGGCAGAAUUCCCGGUGUAGGGGUGAAAUCCGUAGAUAUCGGGAGGAAUACCAGCGGCGAAGGCGGCCUUCUGGACGGUGACUGACGCUGAGACGCGAAAGCGUGGGGAGCAAACAGG
rnacentral:rRNA from 1 species